rnacentral:rRNA from 1 species
GGAAGUAUAUAAAGAGACUAUUAUGGAUUAUGAUGCUAUGUAUUAAAGAGUAAUGAGUUAUGUACCUUUAACAUAUACAUAUAAACUCUUAGAGAAAUUAAGUAAUAAACGAAGCGAAGUGAAAUAUCUUAUUAGCUUCAGGAAAAGAAAUCAAAAGAGAUUCUAUGAUUAAUGUGAAUGAAAGUAGAUAAGCCUAAUAAGUAAAAUGGUAAUAAAACUGUUUGAAUACUAAGGGGAACCUUCCUCUAAGGCUAAAUAUAAUACAUAAGCGACAGAGUACAGUACCGUGAGGGAAACAUAUGAAGUGGUAGUUUUAUAAGCAGCUCAAGCAAAAAAGUAAGAGCGUACCUUUUGCAUAAUGGGUCACCAAGUUAACAUUAGAUGCAAGCAUCACCAAAUGCAUAAUUAAACUGAUCAUAAAUUAAUGAGUAGUGUCUAAAGUUAGACCCGAAGCCUGGUGAUCUUACCACAAUCAGGACUAUAAAGGUCCGAACGGGUUAUCGUUGCAUUGAUAUCCGAAGAAUUGUGGUAAGCAAGUGAAAGACAAAGCUGACUAGGAUAGCUGGUUUUCUGCGAAACCUAUAAAAGUAGGCAAUUUGAUAACAUCUUAGCAGGUACAGAACUUCAUCUCAGGCAAGAUGUGUAUUAUAGGAAGAUUCCUAACACAUUUUAUUCUUGUACAGAUCGGGGAAUCGUGAAGAUUUUACCGGUGAGAUUGUAGACUCGGAAUGGCAAAGAUGAAUAUUUAAUUAUCGGACAUAGAAUGAUAAGGUUGUAUGUCAAAAGGGAAACAGCCCAGAACAAGAGUUAAGGUUCCAAAGUUAUUGUUAAGUGAAAUUAAGAAGGUUUUUAUUUAAGUCGACAAGGGGAUAGGCCUAGGAGCAGCCAUAAUUUAAAGAUCUCGUAACAGAGCACUUGUUAAGUUUUAAGAGCAUCGAAAAUUUAACGGAUCUAAAUAAUAUACCGAAACCUUGUCCAUAUUUAAAAAUAACUUAAAAAAAGAAAGCUUACUAGCUUUGUUAUUUUUAUUUAAUGGGGUAGCAGAACGUUGAGUGUAUACAAGAGCAUUCUUAUUUUAAGAAUAGUUCUAUAACUCAAGUGAGAAUGGUGACAUGAGUAACUAAAAAGAGUAUAUUAAAUACUCUCGCCUAAAGCUUAUGGCUAUAUUAUCAAGUAUCGGCCUCUAAGUUUUUAACCUCAAGGUUAUAACGAUGAGUGAAACUUAUUACUAAAUAUGACAACAUUUCUUAAGUGAGAAAUGUGCUGGAAAAAGAUUAGUAAGUACAUAUUUAUAUAAAAUAGAUAUGUAAAUAAACCGUACCUAGAAUCUGUGACAAGUAAGCUAGUAGAGAAUACGAAGGCGUAAAUGAGAUAACAAUCAUAAAGGAACUCGGCAAAUUGACUACCGUAACUUAGGGAUAAGGAGGGCUCAUUAGUCUUGAUUAAUAUCAGGUAAAAAGGAAGAAGCAUAAAAUAAUGUUGUACGACUGUUUAAUUAAAACAAAGCACUUUGCGUAAAAAUGAUAAAUCUAAGUAUAGAGUGUGAUCUCUGCCCGAUGCCGGCUGGUUAACGGAAAUAACUAAAUUGUGAAAGGUUUGGUGUAGAAGGAACCCCCGGUUAAUGGCGGCCUUAACGUGAGGGUCCUAAGGUAGCGAAAUGCCUUGGCCGUUAAAUGCGGUCUUGCAUGAAUGACGUAACGAUACAACAGCUGUCUCUAUGAUUGACUCAGUGAAAUUGGAAUAACUGUGCAGAUACAGUUUACCUCUAGGUAGACGAGAAGACCCUAUGCAGCUUUACUGUUACUAAUUAUUGAGUAUAAUAGACAAAUUUUAGAAGAUAAGGUAAUGGGUGGUUAAAUAAGCUAGGGCGCAAAACGCCCUCUAUUUCUCCCUUCAUGGA